rnacentral:rRNA from 1 species
AUUGAACGCUGGCGGCAUGCCUUACACAUGCAAGUCGAACGGUAACAGGUCUUCGGAUGCUGACGAGUGGCGAACGGGUGAGUAAUACAUCGGAACGUGCCUAGUAGUGGGGGAUAACUACUCGAAAGAGUGGCUAAUACCGCAUGAGAUCUACGGAUGAAAGCAGGGGAUCGCAAGACCUUGUGCUACUAGAGCGGCCGAUGGCAGAUUAGGUAGUUGGUGGGAUAAAAGCUUACCAAGCCGACGAUCUGUAGCUGGUCUGAGAGGACGAUCAGACACACUGGGACUGAGACACGGCCCAGACUCCUACGGGAGGCAGCAGUGGGGAAUUUUGGACAAUGGGCGCAAGCCUGAUCCAGCAAUGCCGCGGGCAGGAUGAAGGCCUUCGGGUUGUAAACUGCUUUUGUACGGAACGAAAAGCCCUGGGUUAAUACCCUGGGGUCAUGACGGUACCGUAAGAAUAAGCACCGGCUAACUACGUGCCAGCAGCCGCCGUAACAC